CCCGGCUAAUGUGGAGCAUCUUAGAGCUUCGUCUUGGGGCGCUUUCUCUGCCAGAUGGUGGUAAUGGUACAUGCCUGUAAUCUUAGCCCUUGGAGGCAGAGACAGUCUGAUCUCUGAGUUUGAGGCCAGCCUGGUCUACAGAGUUCUUUGGGGUGAGAUUUGUGAAAUGGCAGCCACUUGCUGAAUCACCAGUGGCAUGUGGCUCUGCUCUG